rnacentral:misc_RNA from 1 species
AAGUCGUAACAAGGUUUCCGUAGGUGAACCUGCGGAAGGAUCAUUAUAAAAUAAAACAAAGCAAUCUUUGCUUUUAUAAAUAACUAUUUUAUUAGAUUAGGUAUCUAGUUAAUAGCUAUUUACCGAAAUAAUUUAAUAUACUAUUGUAGAGCUUUUAGGUUUACCCUAAUAAUCUCUAUAAACCAAUAAAUCAAUAAUCCUUUAAAUUACUAGUCUAAUUAUUUAGAUAAAUAAUUUAAAGUGGUAUAGAAAGUGAGGAGUACUAUUAGAUAUAAUAUUUUAUAUUGAUAUAGGAGACUCAUGCAAAACUUUAUAACCAGAAUUCAUUUUACAUUUAUUUAAUAAAAACAAAUAACUUUUAACAAUGGAUCUCUUGGCUAAU